GCGACGGGUGAGUAACACGUGAGUAACCUGCCCUUAACUCUGGGAUAAGCCUGGGAAACUGGGUCUAAUACCGGAUAUGACUCCUCAUCGCAUGGUGGGGGGUGGAAAGCUUUUGUGGUUUUGGAUGGACUCGCGGCCUAUCAGCUUGUUGGUGAGGUAAUGGCUCACCAAGGCGACGACGGGUAGCCGGCCUGAGAGGGUGACCGGCCACACUGGGACUGAGACACGGCCCAGACUCCUACGGGAGGCAGCAGUGGGGAAUAUUGCACAAUGGGCGGAAGCCUGAUGCAGCGACGCCGCGUGAGGGAUGACGGCCUUCGGGUUGUAAACCUCUUUCAGUAGGGAAGAAGCGUAAGUGACGGUACCUGCAGAAGAAGCGCCGGCUAACUACGUGCCAGCAGCCGCGGUAAUACGUAGGGCGCAAGCGUUAUCCGGAAUUAUUGGGCGUAAAGAGCUCGUAGGCGGUUUGUCGCGUCUGCCGUGAAAGUCCGGGGCUCAACUCCGGAUCUGCGGUGGGUACGGGCAGACUAGAGUGAUGUAGGGGAGACUGGAAUUCCUGGUGUAGCGGUGAAAUGCGCAGAUAUCAGGAGGAACACCGAUGGCGAAGGCAGGUCUCUGGGCAUUAACUGACGCUGAGGAGCGAAAGCAUGGGGAGCGAACAGGAUUAGAUACCCUGGUAGUCCAUGCCGUAAACGUUGGGCACUAGGUGUGGGGGACAUUCCACGUUUUCCGCGCCGUAGCUAACGCAUUAAGUGCCCCGCCUGGGGAGUACGGCCGCAAGGCUAAAACUCAAAGGAAUUGACGGGGGCC
rnacentral:rRNA from 1 species